rnacentral:rRNA from 1 species
CACGUAGGGUGCAAGCGUUGUUCGGAAUUACUGGGCGUAAAGGGCUCGUAGGCGGCCAACUAAGUCGGAUGUGAAAUCCCCAGGCUUAACCUGGGAACUGCAUCCGAUACUGGAUGGCUUGAAUCCGGGAGAGGGAUGCGGAAUUCCAGGUGUAGCGGUGAAAUGCGUAGAUAUCUGGAGGAACACCGGUGGCGAAGGCGGCAUCCUGGACCGGCAUUGGCGCUGAGGAGCGAAAGCCAGGGGAGCAAACGGG